UACAGAGGGUGCAAGCGUUGUUCGGAAUUAUUGGGCGUAAAGGGCGCGUAGGCGGUGCUGUAAGUCUGUGGUGAAAUCUCUGGCUCAACUCAGAGUCUGCCAUAGAAACUGCAGUGCUGGAGUGUGGGAGAGGUGAGUGGAAUUCCCGGGUGUAGCGGUGAAAUGCGUAGAUAUCGGGAGGAACACCUGUGGCGAAAGCGGCUCACUGGACCACACUGACGCUGAG
rnacentral:rRNA from 1 species